rnacentral:lncRNA from 1 species
AAAAAGAUAGAAGUGGGUCCUAUGGCCAUUCUACCACAACCCCCAAAGAAAUCACAUUCCCUAAGCUUUGGGGGAAGUCAUUAGUGGUAGACCUACAUCUCCAUUCUCACACAAAGAAUAUUAUCUGUAAACACGUAGUGUUAUGAAGAAACUCAAAGUGUCCCGUGAAUUCAAGAAAGUGAAAAUGUACUUAUCAGGGCUCUUUCAGUUGAAAGAAAAACCAAACUGAAACUAGCUUAGCAAAAAUGACAUUAACAAUUAACUAAAUAUAUUCCAGAGUCUAAAUGUCAUUUUCUGAUGAAGAAAUUAGAAAAGAACAUAAAGAGUAAGGGUAACCAGAAAACAAGCUAGCUUCAUAGUGUCUGCAGCCUAAAGGGCUUUAUCUGACAGUCCAUUGCUCUCUUGUCUCAUCUUGUAUCUCCCUUACCCUGCU